AGUUCUCGUUGAUGAUCGGUGCUUGCACUGAGAUUCAACAUGGAACGAGUGGCGGACGGGUGAGUAACACGUGGGUAACCUGCCCUUAAGUGGGGGAUAACAUUUGGAAACAGAUGCUAAUACCGCAUAGAUCCAAGAACCGCAUGGUUCUUGGCUGAAAGAUGGCGUAAGCUAUCGCUUUUGGAUGGACCCGCGGCGUAUUAGCUAGUUGGUGAGGUAAUGGCUCACCAAGGCGAUGAUACGUAGCCGAACUGAGAGGUUGAUCGGCCACAUUGGGACUGAGACACGGCCCAAACUCCUACGGGAGGCAGCAGUAGGGAAUCUUCCACAAUGGACGCAAGUCUGAUGGAGCAACGCCGCGUGAGUGAAGAAGGCUUUCGGGUCGUAAAACUCUGUUGUUGGAGAAGAAUGGUCGGCAGAGUAACUGUUGUCGGCGUGACGGUAUCCAACCAGAAAGCCACGGCUAACUACGUGCCAGCAGCCGCGGUAAUACGUAGGUGGCAAGCGUUAUCCGGAUUUAUUGGGCGUAAAGCGAGCGCAGGCGGUUUUUUAAGUCUGAUGUGAAAGCCCUCGGCUUAACCGAGGAAGCGCAUCGGAAACUGGGAAACUUGAGCGCAGAAGAGGACAGUGGAACUCCAUGUGUAGCGGUGAAAUGCGUAGAUAUAUGGAAGAACACCAGUGGCGAAGGCGGCUGUCUGGUCUGUAACUGACGCUGAGGCUCGAAAGCAUGGGUAGCGAACAGGAUUAGAUACCCUGGUAGUCCAUGCCGUAAACGAUGAAUGCUAGGUGUUGGAGGGUUUCCGCCCUUCAGUGCCGCAGCUAACGCAUUAAGCAUU
rnacentral:rRNA from 1 species